rnacentral:rRNA from 1 species
UACGUAGGGUGCGAGCGUUGUCCGGAAUUAUUGGGCGUAAAGAGCUCGUAGGCGGUGUGUCACGUCGUUCGUGAAAACCUGCAGCUUAACUGUGGGCGUGCGGUCGAUACGGGCAUCACUGGAGUUCGGCAGGGGAGACUGGAAUUCCUGGUGUAGCGGUGAAAUGCGCAGAUAUCAGGAGGAACACCGGUGGCGAAGGCGGGUCUCUGGGGGUCUUCUGACGCUGAGGAACGAAAGCCAGGGGAGCGAACGGG